UACGAAGGGGGCGAGCGUUGUUCGGAAUUACUGGGCGUAAAGGGCGCGUAGGCGGCGAACCAAGUCAGAUGUGAAAGUCCUGGGCUUAACCUGGGGACUGCAUUUGAUACUGAUUGGCUUGAAUUCGGGAGAGGAUAGCGGAAUUCCCAGUGUAGAGGUGAAAUUCGUAGAUAUUGGGAAGAACACCGGUGGCGAAGGCGGCUAUCUGGACCGACAUUGACGCUGAGGCGCGAAAGCGUGGGGAGCAAACAGG
rnacentral:rRNA from 1 species